rnacentral:rRNA from 1 species
AUUGAACGCUGGCGGCAUGCCUUACACAUGCAAGUCGAACGGUAACAGGUCUUCGGAUGCUGACGAGUGGCGAACGGGUGAGUAAUACAUCGGAACGUGCCUAGUAGUGGGGGAUAACUACUCGAAAGAGUGGCUAAUACCGCAUGAGAUCUACGGAUGAAAGCAGGGGAUCGCAAGACCUUGUGCUACUAGAGCGGCCGAUGGCAGAUUAGGUAGUUGGUGGGAUAAAAGCUUACCAAGCCGACGAUCUGUAGCUGGUAUGAGAGGACGAUCAGCCACACUGGGACAGAGACACGGCCCAGACUCCUACGGGAGGCAGCAGUGGGGAAUUUUGGACAAUGGGCGAAAGCCUGAUCCAGCAAUGCCGCGUGCAGGAUGAAGGCCUUCGGGUUGUAAACUGCUUUUGUACGGAGCGAAAAGCCCCGGGUUAAUACCCUGGGGUCAUGACGGUACCGUAAGAAUAAGCACCGGCUAACUACGUGCCAGCCGCCGCCGUAA